GAAGGUGUGCUGUGAGGCAUGCUGGAGGUAUCAGAAGUGCGAAUGCUGACAUAAGUAACGAUAAAGCGGGUGAAAAGCCCGCUCGCCGGAAGACCAAGGGUUCCUGUCCAACGUUAAUCGGGGCAGGGUGAGUCGACCCCUAAGGCGAGGCCGAAAGGCGUAGUCGAUGGGAAACAGGUUAAUAUUCCUGUACUUGGUGUUACUGCGAAGGGGGGACGGAGAAGGCUAUGUUGGCCGGGCGACGGUUGUCCCGGUUUAAGCGUGUAGGCUGGUUUUCCAGGCAAAUCCGGAAAAUCAAGGCUGAGGCGUGAUGACGAAGCACUACGGUGCUGAAGCAACAAAUGCCCUGCUUCCAGGAAAAGCCUCUAAGCAUCAGGUAACAUCAAAUCGUACCCCAAACCGACACAGGUGGUCAGGUAGAGAAUACCAAGGCGCUUGAGAGAACUCGGGUGAAGGAACUAGGCAAAAUGGUGCCGUAACUUCGGGAGAAGGCACGCUGAUAUGUAGGUGAAGUCCCUUGCGGAUGGAGCUGAAAUCAGUCGAAGAUACCAGCUGGCUGCAACUGUUUAUUAAAAACACAGCACUGUGCAAACACGAAAGUGGACGUAUACGGUGUGACGCCUGCCCGGUGCCGGAAGGUUAAUUGAUGGGGUCAGCGCA
rnacentral:rRNA from 1 species